GAUGAACGCUGGCGGCGUGCUUAACACAUGCAAGUCGAACGAAGCACUUUAAAACAAUCUUUCGGGUGCGUUUUAUUGUGACUUAGUGGCGGACGGGUGAGUAACGCGUGGGUAACCUGCCUCAUGCAGGGGGAUAACAGUUAGAAAUGACUGCUAAUACCGCAUAAGCGCACAGUACCGCAUGGUACAGUGUGAAAAGAUUUAUCAGCAUGAGAUGGGACCCGCGUCUGAUUAGCUAGUUGGUGAGGUAACGGCCCGACCAAGGCGACGAUCAGUAGCCGGCUGAGAGGGUGAACGGCCACAUUGGGACUGAGACACGGCCCAAA
rnacentral:rRNA from 1 species